rnacentral:rRNA from 1 species
GACGAACGCUGGCGGCGUGCUUAACACAUGCAAGUCGAACGGAAAGGCCCUGCUUUUGUGGGGUGCUCGAGUGGCGAACGGGUGAGUAACACGUGAGUAACCUGCCCUUGACUUUGGGAUAACUUCAGGAAAAUGGGGCUAAUACCGGAUAGGAGCUCCUGCUGCAUGGUGGGGGUUGGAAAGUUUCGGCGGUUGGGGAUGGACUCGCGGCUUAUCAGCUUGUUGGUGGGGUAGUGGCUUACCAAGGCUUUGACGGGUAGCCGGCCUGAGAGGGUGACCGGCCACAUUGGGACUGAGAUACGGCCCAGACUCCUACGGGAGGCAGCAGUGGGGAAUAUUGCACAAUGGGCGGAAGCCUGAUGCAGCAACGCCGCGUGCGGGAUGACGGCCUUCGGGUUGUAAACCGAUUUCGCCUGUGACGAAGCGUGAGUGACGGUAAUGGGUAAAGAAGCACCGGCUAACUACGUG